GAAUAAAACGCGCCGAGACCUUCCCUUCGUCCAUUUUGGAGCAGCUUCUUCUUUGCUGUGUCGACCACGAUGAGCAUGAAUUGCAUGGGCUCAUGGGAAGUUUCCGUGCCAUCUUGCUGGGAUGAGUAGACUGAGAUCGGUUAAAUUCAAGGCGUCCUUCACAUGAACUUUGAGAGCAUGAUGACCAUGGGUUGUGUUUGUAAACCCCCCCCUUUUUUUUUUUGUCGUGGUGGUCAUGGAGCACCAUAAUGUUCAGGUAGUGUCGGCACAAUGAGCUCUCACCAAAGACCUGGAACUCCCAAGGGCUGUUAUUUGUCCAAGACUGAGAGGCUAAUGUCCUUUUGGUGGUAUUAGGUUGCACGCAUGUAGUACUCUCAAACAGGUGGCACACCUGAUGUGGUGAAUUCACAGGACUACGGUGAAUUCUUCAAGUUCUGCUCCCUUGAACAUACUGAAGCUGGUAUGUAGUUCCAUGACUGACCAUAAAGGUCACUUAAAUUUGCAUCUGAGAAGUUGAACUGGCUGAAACCUGAUGUUCAUCCCUGUACUAUAGAUCUGCUGAACUGAAGUGUUGACUGGCGUUAGUAACUGACAGUUUUUAUUCCUAAGAUUGCAAAAUAAAUGGCUCUUCUGAAUUUGCCGUUUCAAAUACA